rnacentral:misc_RNA from 1 species
UACGUAGGUGGCAAGCGUUGUCCGGAAUUAUUGGGCGUAAAGGGCUCGUAGGCGGUUUGUCGCGUCGGGAGUGCAAACAUCUGGCUUAACUGGGUGCUUGCUUUCGAUACGGGCAGACUUGAGGCAUGCAGGGGAGAAUGGAAUUCCUGGUGUAGCGGUGAAAUGCGCAGAUAUCAGGAGGAACACCGGUGGCGAAGGCGGUUCUCUGGGCAUGUCCUGACGCUGAGGUGCGAAAGCGUGGGGAGCAAACAGG